GGGGUCGUCGUCUAGCUUGGUCUAGGACACCAGCCUGGGGCGCUGGAAAUCUCGGGUUCAAAUCCCGACGACCCCA
rnacentral:tRNA from 1 species